rnacentral:rRNA from 1 species
UCNUCUGGCUUAACUGGGGGCUUGCGGUGGGUACGGNCCGGCUUGAGUGCGGUAGGGGAGACUGGAACUCCUGGUGUAGCGGUGGAAUGCGCAGAUAUCAGGAAGAACACCGGUGGCGAAGGCGGGUCUCUGGGCCGUUACUGACGCUGAGGAGCGAAAGCGUGGGGAGCGAACAGGAUUAGAUACCCUGGUAGUCCACGCCGUAAACGUUGGGCACUAGGUGUGGGGGGCCUUUUCCGGGUCUUCCGCGCCGUAGCUAACGCAUUAAGUGCCCCGCCUGGGGAGUACGGCCGCAAGGCUAAAACUCAAAGGAAUUGACGGGGGCCCGCACAAGCGGCGGAGCAUGCGGAUUAAUUCGAUGCAACGCGAAGAACCUUACCAAGGCUUGACAUGUGCCGGUCUGCUCCGGAGACGGGGUUUCCUCCCUUGUGGGGGCUGGUUCACAGGUGGUGCAUGGUUGUCGUCAGCUCGUGUCGUGAGAUGUUGGGUUAAGUCCCGCAACGAGCGCAACCCUUGUCUCGUGUUGCCAGCACGUUGUGGUGGGGACUCGCGGGAGACUGCCGGGGUCAACUCGGAGGAAGGUGGGGAUGACGUCAAAUCAUCAUGCCCCUUAUGUCUUGGGCUUCACGCAUGCUACAAUGGCCGGUACAGAGGGCUGCGAUACCGUGAGGUGGAGCGAAUCCCUUAAAGCCGGUCUCAGUUCGGAUCGGUGUCUGCAACUCGACACCGUGAAGUUGGAGUCGCUAGUAAUCGCAGAUCAGCAACGCUGCGGUGAAUACGUUCUCGGGCCUUGUACACACCGCCCGUCACGUCAUGAAAGUCGGCAACACCCGAAGCCCGUGGCCCUACGGGGAGCGGUCGAA